ensembl:lncRNA
CCCGGGAUCCUGAAGAAGGACGAGCGCAUUAGAGCGUGCAUCAGGCUGCGGCAGACAGAGGUUCUGAAGAGGGACUUCGCCAGCCUGAUCGAAACGGUACGAGGCAGAUCACCCACCAUAUAGAUCAUUGUCUCUGGACCUCUUCCCUCAUACAGACGUGGAGCUGAAAAGUUCAGUAGACUUCUUGCUUUGAAUGACUGCAUCCUAGGUUGUUUCGUCCUGAUGGCCUGCACCCCAGCAGCCUCGGAGCGGAACUGCUGUCAGACAACAUCUCGAAGGUGCUACACACCAAGUGACUGCCUACCCGUGCUUACUUGAAGACAGUGAGGGGAGCAGCAUUGGAGAGACAGUUCGCUCCAUUCUCCAAAGAAUUGGGGAGAACAGCCUGUGAUGAAUGUUUUCGUUGAAAGGGUCAAAAGAUAUUGCCGAACGAGCCCAUGGACGUGAAUAUACUGUUGCCAGUUGCAGAGAGGCCAUCGGCAGCUUACCUAAAAAAUGCCCCAGCCAGGAAAG